rnacentral:rRNA from 1 species
UAGCUAGAUGGUGGGGUAAAGGCCUACCAUGGCGACGAUCCGUAGCUGGUCUGAGAGGAUGAUCAGCCACACCGGGACUGAGACACGGCCCGGACUCCUACGGGAGGCAGCAGUGGGGAAUAUUGGACAAUGGGGGAAACCCUGAUCCAGCCAUGCCGCGUGUGUGAAGAAGGCCUUUUGGUUGUAAAGCACUUUAAGCAGUGAAGAAGACUCCAUGGUUAAUACCCAUGGACGAUGACAUUAGCUGCAGAAUAAGCACCGGCUAACUCUGUGCCAGCAGCCGCGGUAAUACAGAGGGUGCAAGCGUUAAUCGGAAUUACUGGGCGUAAAGGGAGCGUAGGUGGCUCUAUAAGUCAGAUGUGAAAUCCCCGGGCUUAACCUGGGAACUGCAUCUGAAACUGUAGAGCUAGAGUAUGUGAGAGGAAGGUAGAAUUCCAGGUGUAGCGGUGAAAUGCGUAGAGAUCUGGAGGNAAUACCGAUGGCGAAGGCAGUCUUCUGGCAUAAUACUGACACUGAGGCUCGAAAGCGUGGGUAGCAAACAGGAUUAGAUACCCUGGUAGUCCACGCCGUAAACGAUGUCUACUAGUCGUUGGGUCCCUUGAGGACUUAGUGACGCAGCUAACGCAAUAAGUAGACCGCCUGGGGAGUACGNGNCCNGCNAAGGUUAAAACUCAAAUGAAUUGACGGGGGCCCGCACAAGCGGUGGAGCAUGUGGUUUAAUUCGAUGCAACGCGAAGAACCUUACCUGGUCUUGACAUAUCUAGAAUCCUGCAGAGAUGCGGGAGUGCCUUCGGGAAUUAGAAUACAGGUGCUGCAUGGCUGUCGUCAGCUCGUGUCGUGAGAUGUUGGGUUAAGUCCCGCAACGAGCGCAACCCUUGUCCUUAGUUACCAGCGGGUUAAGCCGGGAACUCUAAGGAUACUGCCAGUGACAAACUGGAGGAAGGCGGGGACGACGUCAAGUCAUCAUGGCCCUUACGACCAGGGCUACACACGUGCUACAAUGGUAGGUACAGAGGGCAGCUACACAGCGAUGUGAUGCGAAUCUCAAAAGCCUAUCGUAGUCCAGAUUGGAGUCUGCAACUCGACUCCAUGAAGUAGGAAUCGCUAGUAAUCGCGGAUCAGAAUGCCGCGGUGAAUACGUUCCCGGGCCUUGUACACACCGCCCGUCACACCAUGGGAGUUGAUUGCACCAGAAGUGGAUAGCUUAACCUUCGGGGGAGCGUUCACCACGGUGUGGUUGAUGACU